CAACCGGCUCUUUUCAGAGCCACCACUCACCAAAAGAUCGAACACU
rfam:Amphimedon queenslandica AMPQTscaffold_12842_Cont9596, whole genome shotgun sequence.